rnacentral:lncRNA from 1 species
GGAGAAGAGGUAGAAAAUCAUGUACCUACUGAGGCCAUUGGCCAUGCACCGCCACAGGCUCCUCCUGGUGCUAGAAGGCCAGAGCAGGAGGUCUUAUUGCAGCAAUUAACAGAGAUUUUCAGGCAGGUGGCCGGAGUAGCUCAGCCAGCUAUAGUUCCACCACCGGCUCUUGCAUCAGCACCAGCCAAGCCGCCUAUUGAUAAACUGAGAAAGUAUGGUGCUACAGAAUUUAAAGAAAGAAAGGAAGAUGAUGCAUCCGCAGCAGAAUAUUAGUUGCAAAGUACAGACAGGGUACUUCAGCAGCUACAAUGUUCUCCAGAAGAUAGUCUCGUAUGUGCAGUGUCACUACUGUAAGAAGAAGCCUACCAAUGCUAGAAGGCCAGAGCAGGAGGUCUUAUUGCAGCAAUUAACAGAGAUUUUCAGGCAGGUGGCCGGAGUAGCUCAGCCAGCUAUAGUUCCACCACCGGCUCCUGCAUCAGCACCAGCCAGGCCGCCUAUUGAUAAACUGAGAAAGUAUGGUGCUACAGAAUUUAAAGGAAGAAAGGAA